UUCUCUCAUUCUGCAGCACUUCUGGGGUCCUGUGGCCAACUGGGGCCUGCCCAUUGCUGCUUUUAAUGACAUGAAGAAAACUCCAGAGAUCAUCAGUGGGAGAAUGACAUUUGCUAUUGUUUCGCAGGGUUUUGGGGCAGAAGGCAGAAGGGGAAGUGAGGAGGAGCGAUGCUGUAAGCUGGCCGACGGGACGGACCCCGAGCGGGAGUCCGAGGCCCAGGGUCUUUGGCGGGGAGAGGAGACGAAGACAGACUCGUGUGGAGCGUCUGGUCGACCACCGUGGUUGGUCCCAGGCGGCGGGUCGGAGGGGAUCGAAUGGUGGAAAGAAGACUCCGUUAAUUGAGCUCCAACUGUUGUGCAUGAAGUGUUUGAACUCCUUAAGUUUGGCGCUUUUUACUUCCCUUUUAUAUUUUAUCUCUAUUAAUUACAUAGUUCCAAUAAGAUCUAUAAAGUGUAAUCAUUUAAUUGCAUAUGGUGUAUUGUCUGUUAUUUGGCAGGGUGGGGUACAUCACACAGCAUCCACACAAACUUGAUUAUCCAGUUUGGUGGGGCCGAAGCCUGCUCCCCCUAGAUGUAAGCGAGUUGAGCGAGCCUGAGGCUUACCAGUGGCUACAGUAAUAUAACUUAUCCUCAUUUAUUUCUUGUUUAAUCACAUUCACAUUUGUCAGGAAUAUGGGCCACACAGAAUUUUGAGCAGAGUAACUGCCUUUCUUCCUUGUUGUCAUGGGCUAGUUCUUAUAAUUAACAAGUUAUCAAAUCUAUUCAUAUUUUUAUUGAUUUUAUAUGGACUGUCAGAUUUUAUUUCAAUCUGUUCUUUACACUUCCUCACAUUAUAUACUAGAUAACAGUAGAUGACUGAAGUAGGUAACAGUAGAUCUACUGGGAGUUUAAGGUAAAAUUGUUAAUACUUUGCUAAGGUCUAUAUUAGAUCCGUUGGAUAAAAGCUUUUGACCUUUUGGGUGAGACUGACAGUUUUUAGAAGGUUUUUUAAAAUGGGUUUUGAGCAUUGAAAGUGGUUAUUUAACUUGUAAUCUUGCUUUAUAGACAGGUUUUGUCUGACUUUAAAAUAAUUUGGUUUCUAACUUGCAAUUGAUUCAGUCUAAUGAUAAACACUGUAGUUGAUUGUGCUUUGAUUUGAGUUUGAGCCUAAUGUUGGUUUUAUUCAGAAUCAGGUUUAUUAUCACUGGCAUGUGAUGUGAAAUUUGUUAACAGCAGUUCAAUGCAAUACAUAAUAUAGAAGAAAAAAAUAAGUAAUUCUUAUGCAGUAUACUUUAUACAGUAUACAUAUAUUGAAUAGAUUAAAAAUCGUGCAAAAAAACCCAGAAAUACUAUAUAUUUUUUUAAAAAGUCAGGUAGUGUCCAAGGGUUCAAUGUCCAUUUAGGAAUCGGAUGACAGAGGGGAAGAAGCUGUUUCUGAAUCGCUGAGUGUGUACCUUUAGGCUUCUGUACCUCCUACCUGAUGGUAACAGUGAGAAAAGAUUGACAUCUUUCAAGAGUUUAGCAUUUGCUCCAUAACAUGAAGGCCUGUUGUGAACAAUACACUACUUUUCCUGUAAUAAUGACCUGUUUCUGUUCUUCU